AUGCAAGUCGAACGGGAAAGGCCCUUCGGGGUACUCGAGUGGCGAACGGGUGAGUAACACGUGGGUGAUCUGCCCUGCACUCUGGGAUAAGCCUGGGAAACUGGGUCUAAUACCGGAUAGGACCACACACUUCAUGGUGAGUGGUGCAAAGCUUUUGCGGUGUGGGAUGAGCCCGCGGCCUAUCAGCUUGUUGGUGGGGUAAUGGCCCACCAAGGCGACGACGGGUAGCCGGCCUGAGAGGGUGACCGGCCACACUGGGACUGAGAUACGGCCCAGACUCCUACGGGAGGCAGCAGUGGGGAAUAUUGCACAAUGGGCGCAAGCCUGAUGCAGCGACGCCGCGUGAGGGAUGACGGCCUUCGGGUUGUAAACCUCUUUCAGUAGGGACGAAGCGAAAGUGACGGUACCUACAGAAGAAGGACCGGCCAACUACGUGCCAGCAGCCGCCGUAAUACGUAG
rnacentral:rRNA from 1 species